AAUAGAUACCCUGGUAGUCCACGCCGUAAACGAUGAGUGCUAAGUGUUAGAGGGUUUCCGCCCUUUAGUGCUGCAGCUAACGCAUUAAGCACUCCGCCUGGGGAGUACGGUCGCAAGACUGAAACUCAAAGGAAUUGACGGGGGCCCGUACAAGCGGUGGAGCAUGUGGUUUAAUUCGAAGCAACGCGAAGAACCUUACCAGGUCUUGACAUCCUCUGACAACUCUAGAGAUAGAGUGUUCCCCUUCGGGGGACAGAGUGACAGGUGGUGCAUGGUUGUCGUCAGCUCGUGUCGUGAGAUGUUGGGUUAAGUCCCGCAACGAGCGCAACCCUUGAUCUUAGUUGCCAGCAUUUAGUUGGGCACUCUAAGGUGACUGCCGGUGACAAACCGGAGGAAGGUGGGGAUGACGUCAAAUCAUCAUGCCCCUUAUGACCUGGGCUACACACGUGCUACAAUGGAUGGUACAAAGGGCUGCAAGCCGCGAGGUCAAGCCAAUCCCAUAAAACCCAUUCUCAGUUCGGA
rnacentral:rRNA from 1 species